AUUGCCAGAGGUUAUCAUUCAAUUGACGACAAAGUUAACUGCUCUACGUCAGUUCAAAACAGUUGCGCGAUUAGUGCGUGAGAGAGGCGGAGACAUCGUCUCCCGUUUCCACCCGACGAAACCAGUUCUCGCCUGCGGCAUUGAAAAUGAAAUUAUUUUCUUUUCUGCCGAGAAUUCGUCGAUUCCUUUUUCUAAUUGGAAAGAGGAC